rnacentral:RNase_P_RNA from 1 species
UGUGGGCGGUCUGGCCGCGACGCGCGCACGGCGCCGCCAGCCUCGGAGGGGCGGUAACGUCCUUCCAUCCGGGCAGCGGCGCGCACGCGCGGCGAGGAAAGUCCGGGCACCGUAGGGCAGGGUGCCAGUUAACGACUGGGCGCGUAAGGCGACGGCAAGUGCAACAGAGAGCAGACCGCGAACGCGCCCGCGAGCGGGCGCGCCGUAAGGGUGAAAGGGUGCGGUAAGAGCGCACCAGUGCCCCUGGUAACAGGGGCAGCUAGGUAAACCCCACCCGGUGCAAGGUCCGAUAUGGAGAGAGAGCCUGCCCGGCUCGCCAGCAUCUCCGGGUUGACCGCUACAGGGGCGCGGCGACGCGCCUCGCAGACAGAUGGCCAGACGCGUGUCCCUCGGGACACGUGACAGAACCCGGCUUACAAGCCCACCUGCCGA